GAUGAGGAUGUUGAGGUGGAUGUGUGGGCACACCCGGUUGGAUAAGAUUAGGAAUGAAGUUAUUCGGGAAAAGGUGGGAGUGACCCCUGUGGAGAAUAAGAUGCGAGAGGCGAGGUUGAGAUGGUUCAGGCAUGUUAAGAGGAGAAGUAUAGAAGCCCCAGUUAGAAGGUGCGAGCGGUUAGCCUCAGUGGGUAGCAGGAGGGGUAGAUUUAGGCCUAAGAAAUCUAGGGGAGAUGUUAUUAGGCGAGACAUGGCGCAACUGGAGCUGACUGAAGACGUGGCCCUAGACAGGAGAGUGUUGAGGUCAAAGAUUAGGGUAGGAGGUUCGUAGGUAGUUGAGCGUUUCUCUUUGUCUUACUCAGAUCGCUAACAUUAGUGUUAGUAUGAUAUCUUUUAUCCAUAGAUAACUAUUACUACCUAGAGUUUGACUGUAUUCUUGGAUUCAAUCUCAUUUCAUCUUGCUGUUAUUCCUACUUGUUGGCUUGUUGCAAUUACCUUUUUCUUUUCAGUCGGUCUCUAGCCGAGAGUCUAUCGGAAAUAGCCUCUCUGCCCUUCCAGGGGUAGGGGUAAGGCUGCGUACAUCUUACCUACCACAUACCCCACUUGUGGGAAACUACUGGGUUUGUUGUUGUUGUUGUUGUUGUUGUUGUUAUUUCUUCGAUUUUUUCAAAAAUAAAACCAAAUCGAACCAAAUAUUAUCUAUUACUUAAAAUGUAAACUAAAAUCAAACCAACCUGGAAAAAAAUCGAUUUAUUUAAGCGGGUUGGUUUGAUUUCGAAUUUGAUUCGGUUUUUAACCCAACCGUGAUUAUCCCUGGUUGAAUGAUCACAUAAGAAAUAAAUAAUAUUCAUAUAAUUAACGCACUGGUCGUAGAAUUUAUAUAUUAUUUUAUACUGAAUAAAAGAUAGAAUAAUAAUAAGUUAUUGAAUUAUUUAAAGGCAUAAUGUGCUUUUAAAAUAAGUAAUUUGUGUAGAACAAUGGAAUUCACGUACGAUAAUUUUGCAUAACUCGUAAGUGAACCAACCCACUAUUACAAUACUUUUCUCAGUUUUUUUAAAAAAAAAGACAAUUAACAACGUGGAAAAAAGUGAGUCACGCAGCACUCGGUUAUUCUUCUUCAUAUGGUCAUUGAUUGUUUACUUUUCAAGUUCUCUUGUACAAUUGUCACUGAACAUAAAAUGAUAGACAUAACAAUAUUGACUAUUAUUCUACUCUUUUCCAUUCAAUUCACUAAAAACAGAAGUGUAAUUUACUGGUAAAAUAAGCAAAUGAUCUUCUACUUAUUAGUAAUGCAGUACUACCUCCGUUUCAAUUUAUGUGAACCUAUUUCCUUUUUAGUCCGUAUAAAAAAGAAUGACCACUUUCCCUAUUUGGAAAUAAUUUAUUUUUAUGCAAUGAUUUAUAGCCACACAAAAUAUAUGUGCUUCAUUUUAUACCACAAGUUCAAAAGUCUUCUCUCUUUUUUUAAGCUCCGUGUCCGGUCAAGGAAGUAUUAUUUUUCCUUUAGUUUCUCCGGUAUAUUUUGAAAGUUAAAAACAAACAGUACCAGGAAUAGUCGGAAACGGAAGAAUACAGAAUAAGGGUACGAAAUUGUCAUAUGACGUGAGUAUAGGUAUGCUUAUGCAUAUUUGGAAAUAAGAAUCUAGAAUGCCAAAUUUUUUUUAAAAAAAAGUGUACUAAAGUGUCAUUUCACAACAAUCACAUCUCGGAAACCCUAGCUUCUCCACACGUCUAUUUAUAUUCUCUUUAUCAUCAGCCUCUUUCACAUCCUCAUCUUUUGAGGAGCCACUUCACAUCGUUCCUAUUUCACCAUUCAUUUAAGGUUCUUUAUUCUUGUUUUCUUUUUCCAAACAUAAUGGCUCUCUCAUGUUUUCUUCACCCUAGUAUACUGUUACGGAUUUCUAAACUAGGAUUAAAGGAUGUGUGUUGUUUCGGCUUCUGGUUUGUAUUUAAGGAUGUGAUAAAACUUGAUGCUGUUGAUUGUUGGCGUUUGUCGAAUUAAAUCGGUUUUCGAUUGCGGUUUCUCCGUAUAAGAAAUUGAUUGUCAUAGAUGCCCUUUGCCAAUUAGAUGAACUAUGCAAAGAAGGCCAGAGAUGAGACAAGUGAUGCAUAUACUAUAAAAUGACACUACGAAGAUAAUGGUUGUAUGUGCGUGACAAAUUUAAGCUCAAUUCUAUAGAAUAUGUUAGUAUAUAAGAUGAGACAAUAGAUGUAUUAUAUAUCAUUUUAUGUUUGCAAAAUUUUGUUAUAGAUGUGCCAAAAAUAUAAAUUACAUUAGUAUUUUAGAAUGCUAGAGUGAAUUAUCAAUGCUUAUAUGGAUAUUAAUUCCAGAAAUUAUAUGAACUCAUUACAUUUUGUGAGAAUGGAUUCACGCUUUAUUAUUUGCUCUGAAGUUGAGUUGAUGCUUGUCCCUACCUACGUUAUUUUUAUCAAGGGCGAAUGUUAGAUAUUUGCCAUUGCCUUUUCGGUUUAGUGAAAAAUGUUUGUUCUAUAUUCUUUUUGUACAUAAAUAAUUCAUACACUUGCCUUUACAAGAUUCACAGCAAUUUCACAAGGAUUCUACACUUGCUUUUACAAAUGAAAAAGGGAAAAUGCUAAAUAUACUCUUCUACUUUUAUAUAUUUGUUUACGUUUAAUUUUUAUUGUAUUAUCAGGUUAAAUUUAUCCUUAUCAUUACAUUAUCGGGCCAAAUUUAUUUCUACAGUUAACUUUUAAAAAUACAACUUGAUCUGUUAAGUAAUUCAAAAUCUCUCAAAUUCUUUUUAUUAAAUCACUUGUUGUUCUUCUUGCUUUAUUAUUUUCAAAAAUAGCUAAUGUUACUAGACUAUAUAAAUUAUUCAUAAUUUUUUUAAUUACCAAUGCACACAUUUCUCUUAUUGUAAUAAAUAAAAUUGAUUUAGAACUUUA
rnacentral:lncRNA from 1 species